rnacentral:lncRNA from 1 species
CUACUCUGAAAUUAUUUGAGUGAUCACUGCUUGUUUUUCCUCUUCUAAAACACAGCUAAUUAGCAUCCUGGUUAAUUUUGGAUUUAGUGAUCAUGAUGGAAGACAUGGGUCUUACUGUGAGAAGAAGCAAGGCCUCCUUUGGAGCAUGAAGUAGGAGAGAGGUCUCAAAAUACAAAGGAGAAGAGACUUGCAGAGCCAGCACCAUAUUUUGGGACAAAAAAGUGAAUUACAGAGUAAGGAAGAAAGCGUGGAUAUGAAGGCAAGACAGGACAAAGAUGCAAGGCAGCAGGAAUUGUGUUAAGACGUGAAACCAGGAGGUCCUGCUAAAUUUAGAAGAGCUGAAGAGGAAAGAAUAACAUGAAGUAGAAGUACCAAGCAGGAAAGGAAAAGAUUGCAGCACUCAGCUUGGGACAGAGUAUGAACUUGUGGGUGCAGCACCUGUGAACUCAGACACCUUGACAACAAUCUGCCAGACGCAUUCUUGAUGGGAUGGGGGAGACCCAGACAACACAAACUCUCAGAAGGAGAAGAGUGAACAAAGCACAAGGCAGUGAUGGCAACCAAAACAGAUGAGAAGACUUUUGAGCUGCAGGGACUCAUCCCGUCUGACUGUGGUGGUGUGUGGGGAGCAGACCCCUCAGCGGUGGCCAGUGGUCCUGGAGUGUGGCGAGGAGGCACCAGCUGUGAGAACAGGACAAUAAAACUUGCAGCUGGCUUUACAUCAAGUCCUUCGAGCUUCGCAGGGAGGAGGAGCUGGCACAGACACAGCCUCGGUGGCGUCAGCAUCCGAGGGCUGAGACAAGCCCACUUUGGCAGCACAGUUCUGGCUUUUUUGGGAAGCAAAGCCCUGUGCCUCAUGUAACAUCUGCUGAACUUGUGUUCCAGCUUCAUCUCAUCACGGAGUGCUGCAGAAACAAGAUCUCGUGUUUGUGGUGACCUUGGGAUUGAGGUUGACUGGGGCAAAGCAUUACAGUGCCCAAACCACAAAGGCCAAUUAGUUUCCUGGUGUCUAAUGAGAGCAGUUACCCCGCGAGAUACCUAAAAACCUUCCAGCUCCUCAAGGCACAGCCUUGCUGUAGAGACUUGAGGAGCUGUCCUGCCAAAAUGUGAAAGUCUGCUCUUCUGCAUGCCUGUGCACGGAGCCAAGAGCACUUUCCUGGCUCUGAAGGGUUAAUAGGUCUUUGGUGGGUG